UACAGAGGUCUCAAGCGUUGUUCGGAUUCAUUGGGCGUAAAGGGUGCGUAGGCGGCGCGGUAAGUCGGGUGUGAAAUCUCGGAGCUUAACUCCGAAACUGCAUUCGAUACUGCCGUGCUUGAGGACUGGAGAGGAGACUGGAAUUUACGGUGUAGCGGUGAAAUGCGUAGAUAUCGUAAGGAAGACCAGUGGCGAAGGCGGGUCACUGGACCACAACUGACGCUGAUGCACGAAAGCUAGGGGAGCAAACAGG
rnacentral:rRNA from 1 species